rnacentral:rRNA from 1 species
GUUUGUGGCCAGACAACCCUGAAUGCACCCUGUCUCAUCUGUUCUCGGAAGCUGAGCAGGGUCCAUUACUUGGGGGCUGACCCUGCACAGUUGGAAAAAUAAGGGGCUUAGAUA